GGGUCGGUAGCUCAGCUGGGAGAGCGCUUCGUUCGCAAUGAAGAGGCCGGGGGUUCAACUCCCCCCCGAUCCACCA
rnacentral:tRNA from 1 species